rnacentral:rRNA from 1 species
GUGGGGAAUUUUGGACAAUGGGCGCAAGCCUGAUCCAGCCAUGCCGCGUGCAGGAUGAAGGCCUUCGGGUUGUAAACUGCUUUUGUACGGAACGAAACGGCUCUUUCUAAUAAAGAGGGCUAAUGACGGUACCGUAAGAAUAAGCACCGGCUAACUACGUGCCAGCAGCCGCGGUAAUACGUAGGGUGCGAGCGUUAAUCGGAAUUACUGGGCGUAAAGCGUGCGCAGGCGGUGAUGUAAGACAGAUGUGAAAGCCCCGUGCUCAACCUGGGAACUGCAUUUGUGACUGCAUCGCUGGAGUGCGGCAGAGGGGGAUGGAAUUCCGCGUGUAGCAGUGAAAUGCGUAGAUAUGCGGAGGAACACCGAUGGCGAAGGCAAUCCCCUGGGCCUGCACUGACGCUCAUGCACGAAAGCGUGGGGAGCAAACAGGAUUAGAAACCCCCGGUAGUCC